UACAGAGGUCCCAAGCGUUGUUCGGAUUCAUUGGGCGUAAAGGGUGCGUAGGUGGCGCGCUAAGUCGGGUGUGAAAUUUCGGAGCUUAACUCCGAAACUGCAUUCGAUACUGGUGUGCUUGAGGACUGGAGAGGAGACUGGAAUUCAUGGUGUAGCAGUGAAAUGCGUAGAGAUCAUGAGGAAGACCAGUGGCGAAGGCGGGUCUCUGGACAGUUCCUGACACUGAGGAAAGAAGGCCAGGGGAGUAAACGGG
rnacentral:rRNA from 1 species